ACUGUGAUAGCUUAGCUGGUAGAGCUUCUGCCCGGCGUGCAGAGGGUCGCCGGCUCGAUUCCUGCUCACGGAG
rnacentral:tRNA from 1 species